AUUGAACGCUGGCGGCAGGCCUAACACAUGCAAGUCGAACGGAGUGGCGGACGGGUGAGUAAUGUAUGGGAAACUGCCUGAUGGAGGGGGAUAACUACUGGAAACGGUAGCUAAUACCGCAUACUAUCAUAUGAGCAUAGGUCGGAUUAGCUAGUUGGGGGGGUAAAGGCCUACCAAGGCGACGAUCCGUACCUGGUCUGAGAGGGUGAUCAGUCAAACUGGAACUGAGAGACGGUCCAGACGCCGACGGGAGGGAGCAGUGGGGAAUAGUGGACAAUGGGCGAAAGCCUGAUCCAGCCAUGCCGCGUGUGUGAAGGAGGUCUUCGGAUUGUAAAGCACGUUAAGUUGGGAGGCGUUACCAACAGAAUAAGCACCGGCUAACUUCGUGCCAGCAGCCGCGGUAAUUC
rnacentral:rRNA from 1 species